UUCCCGAAAAGGCAAAACUACUGCAAAGUAGUGACGCAAAGCCCAAGGAUCCGUUGUCCGGAACUACGGUCGGUAAGUUAAAUACCGACGCCGGACAUCAGGACAGCCUGGCUGCCGAA
rnacentral:ncRNA from 1 species